GCCAUGCUCUACCAACUGAGCUACAGGGGACCUGAUUGAUCAUUUUGAUUAUGGAAAAUUGAAUCCCUGUGUUUCAAACGGUUUGCUUGGAAUGAUUUGUAGCUAUUGUCUAUCAGUUCAUUAGUGUUUCCUUACCAGAAAACACGCGAUACCGUAAAGUGGUGUGUAUUCACCCACCCAAAUUCAGGAGGAAACUGAAGCGCGGAUAGCUUGACUACUGCCGCGUUCAAAACAACUGGGAGCUCGGAAUUCAAAACUUGGAAAUAACCGACUUCCGUACGUUCAAGACAACUGGGAACUCGAAAAACAUCCAUCUCGGAAUUCCAAAUCGGGGACUCAGGCGUCUUUCUAGAGUUCCGACUAUCCGCCCUUAAGAUCACUGACGUCAUGAUUUGACCUCGGGUUUUUUCCCGAUUUCCCAUUUGCGCACCAUGCGUUUUGCGCGUGUGGGCUCACUUAACCGCAGCGAAAUAUCUAGUGACCUACGCUUGUGAAGUACCGUAAAGAAGUGCUACCCGUUUGUCCCUUGUAAUAUCCGACCCAGACAUGACAUCCCAACUACAAUAAAAACUCAGGUACAUUAAUACAUAAGAUGUCCCGUUUCUUGAUUUUAUUUUAACUGGACACAAUUGUUACACAGUAUCUUUUCAUAUAUCUUUAGUUAUUUUCACAUAUAUCUUUAGAUUUAGUUAUUUAAACAUCAGAGUAACCAAACGUAACACCUAAAAGCAUCUGUAAAACAAUACAUUUAGUGCAAUUUACAGUUCAAACUAAAAACAGCUUUUGUCUGCAAAAAUAUACAUAUUUAUUCAUUUAGCCUUUUAACUCCGAUUGAGACUUGGUAAAAACUUAAAUUAACUUCUAUUACGGAAAAUAAAAUAAAAACAGAAUUGACAACAUAAGUCAUCUAUAGGCACAUUAGCUCAAAAUGGUCUAGAAAUGCCUAGAUUAAGAUAUUCAACCACUGCACCAGCAGGAGUGGACCACACAUCAUGUUAAACAUUUUGACACACAGGUAACACCACCAAGGUUCUAGAAGCAUUUCAAUGAGGCACUACGUGGAGUUUAGAUCUAAUGACACCACAGAACGACAAUUUGGCCUGAAGGUACAUCGCACAGCAACAGGCUCAAAUGACGCAGAAGCUGUAAACUUACUACGGUAUGCACAUAAGUGA